UACGUAGGGUGCGAGCGUUGUCCGGAAUUAUUGGGCGUAAGGGGCUCGUAGGCGGUUUGUCGCGUCGGGAGUGAAAACACCGGGCUUAACUCGGUGCUUGCUUUCGAUACGGGCAGACUAGAGGCAUGCAGGGGAGAACGGAAUUCCUGGUGUAGCGGUGAAAUGCGCAGAUAUCAGGAGGAACACCGGUGGCGAAGGCGGUUCUCUGGGCAUGUCCUGACGCUGAGGAGCGAAAGUGUGGGGAGCGAACAGG
rnacentral:rRNA from 1 species